CAUCUGGUGACUUUGAACAGCAGUCCUGAUCAGUUUUGACCUCUGCAAGUUCAGGGGUUAGGACCGUAACCACGAGAGGACUUGAAAAUGAGCCGGAGCAGAGAGGAUCACCAAAACUAAAGAGCAUAUAAACAUGCCGACAACCAUCUGUGGAGAUCAGUGGACAAAGGGCUGGACAACGGACCGGAUCCGAAAAAACGCAUGGUUGCCAAGAAAACGGCCACUGUAAUCGAUGGGGGCUCUUGGCGGUACCAUUCUGCUCAUCUGAUGAAGGAGCACAUGGAUCAGAUUAAAACUUUGUAGACUGAGAUCAAGUCCUUGAAGGCAGACCAGCAGAACAGAAACAUUAUUGGAGGGCAGAGAUAUGGGCGACAGCUGAUGCAUUAGUCCAGAGCCAGGCGGCAUUGGUGGAGAGUCAGGUGGAGAAUGACGCGUUGAAGAGGGCGAGGAACGAGAUGGAGUCACAAUCCAUGCCAGGCACACCUGUGAGCUCUGGAACUCUACCUCCGACAGGCAGAGUCAACAUACCUGGUGGGUUCAUUAGGUCGUCGUUUCAACCUGACAUUUCCAUUCCUCUUCUGACAACAGAACUUGACCAACUGCUCACCAGAUACAGCAAGGGCCGUCCGGACCAUUAUGCUGUUCUGCUAUAGCACAAUAAACAAAUGCAGC
rnacentral:lncRNA from 1 species